CGUGCGCUUGCGGAUCAUUUUCUAAUAGCGUUACCAAAUAUCAACAAGCAUUUCUGGCGCCGUUGCCGAGGAGAAAGACGGUUUGCUGAGAUAACUUUGAGUCUUGCUAUUAUCUUGUAUUAUACUUUUAUACUUUUAUUCUUUUAUCUUUUUAUUUUUUCUAUCUUUAUGGAUAACUCAAAUUCCAUACCUAUUAUUGAAUUCUUUGCACCUUCGGAGACCAGCCAUAGACCAUGGGAGUCAACACGUCCUGCCCCUAAUUAUGAUCUAUGUCCGGAGUUGAUUGCAAUAGGUCAAAACCAACCCUUUUCUAUAGCCAAGGUCCU
rnacentral:lncRNA from 1 species